UGUANGUCGANCGGCAGCACGGGUGCUUGCACCUGGUGGCGAGUGGCGAACGGGUGNNUAAUACAUCGGAACAUGUCCUGUAGUGGGGGAUAGCCCGGCGAAAGCCGGAUUAAUACCGCAUACGAUCCACGGAUGAAAGCGGGGGACCUUCGGGCCUCGCGCUAUAGGGUUGGCCGAUGGCUGAUUAGCUAGUUGGUGGGGUAAAGGCCUACCAAGGCGACGAUCAGUAGCUGGUCUGAGAGGACGACCAGCCACACUGGGACUGAGACACGGCCCAGACUCCUACGGGAGGCAGCAGUGGGGAAUUUUGGACAAUGGGCGAAAGCCUGAUCCAGCAAUGCCGCGUGUGUGAAGAAGGCCUUCGGGUUGUAAAGCACUUUUGUCCGGAAAGAAAUCCUUGGCCCUAAUACGGUCGGGGGAUGACGGUACCGGAAGAAUAAGCACCGGCUAACUACGUGCCAGCAGCCGCGGUAAUACGUAGGGUGCGAGCGUUAAUCGGAAUUACUGGGCGUAAAGCGUGCGCAGGCGGUUUGCUAAGACCGAUGUGAAAUCCCCGGGCUCAACCUGGGAACUGCAUUGGUGACUGGCAGGCUAGAGUAUGGCAGAGGGGGGUAGAAUC
rnacentral:rRNA from 1 species